rnacentral:misc_RNA from 1 species
UUCUACACUAAAUUGAAAACCCAUUCCGUAUUCCCCUUCUUUUCAUUCUUUUCUUCUUAUUCUUCCAAGACUACCAAAAACCCAACAAAUCAAUCCAAACAAACCCAAAAACCUAGCAAAAUUUUAGAAAAAACAAAGAAUUCCAUUCAACAUUCAAACUUUUUGAGCUUUUAGAAAAUCCAACAUUCAACAUCAGAUAAAUCCCCUAAAUCUCCACAAGAAUUUUAGUUGUGCUCAUCCUCUUUCAUAGAAAUCGACUUCUUCAUAUCAUAAUAUCGCUGGCUUCAUUUAGACUCAUAAAUCAGAGCUAUUUAUUGAUGAUAACACCAAUUGUAGAAUCUUCUAGAUAGGUGAUGAGUCUACAGAGCAAUGGAGGGAGUUUUCAUUUCUUUGGUGGGAGAAAAGACUGGGAUGUUGCUGAAGUUGCUAAGUGGAUUUGGAGAGGAGAGAUAGCGAACGCCAAAGUGGUGGUGGAUCUACCCCUUCAUCUAUCCUAGCGAGAGGUGCUCAUUGCGGAGGAGGAGAUGUAUUGCUAAUAGGACUCAGUCAUUCAGAGUCCUGUUGGGAUUCAAAAACAAAAAUUUAAAGAAAGUGAUGAAACUUAAAGGUUGAUUACUUGAUUUUUUGAGUUGAUGUUCAUGGUUGAUUUUGUUUUCUUGGUGCUCCUAUGUUGUCCCAAUUUUUCUGGGACUUAUUGUAAUUUACAGAUGUGUUGUUCUUGGUGUGUUCUUGUGUUGUUGCAAUUUUUCUAGAUUUUGAUUCAAUUUUGAAAUUUUUUUAUUGUGUUCUUGUAAUUUUGG